GAUGAAGAACGUAGUGAAAUGCGAUACUUGGUGUGAAUUGCAGAAUCCCGUGAACCAUCGAGUCUUUGAACGCAAGUUGCGCCCGAAGCCAUUAGGCCGAGGGCACGCCUGCCUGGGCGUCACACGUUGUUGCCCCCCCAUCUACUCCUUCGGGAUUGCGGGGGGCGGAUGAUGGCCUCCCGUGCGCCUUGUCGCGCGGUUGGCAUAAAUGCCAAGUCCUCGGCGACGCACGCCACGACAAUCGGUGGUUGCGAAACCUCGGUUGCCCGUCGUGUGCGGUCGUCGCGCAUCGAGGGCUCGAAAAAAUUGUCGGGCUCCGGCUCGGCUUUCAACGCGACCCCAGGUCAGGCGGGGUUACCCGCUGAAUUUAAGCAUAUCAAUAAGCGGAGGA
rnacentral:misc_RNA from 1 species